CUAUACAUGCAGUCGGACGGGAUUGGAGAGCUUGCUUUCCAUGAGAGUGGCGCACGGGUGCGUAACACGUAUGUAACCUACCUUGAUCAGGGGGAUAGCCUCUCGAAAGAGAGAUUAAGACCGCAUAACAUUGCAAUGUGGCAUCACAAAGCAAUCAAAUAUUUAUAGGAUCAAGAUGGGCAUGCGGAACAUUAGCUAGUUGGUAAGGUAACGGCUUACCAAGGCUACGAUGUUUAGGGGAUCUGAGAGGAUGACCCCCCACACUGGUACUGAGACACGGACCAGACUCCUACGGGAGGCAGCAGUAAGGAAUAUUGGUCAAUGGGCGCAAGCCUGAACCAGCCAUGCCGCGUGCAGGAAGACGGCCCUAUGGGUUGUAAACUGCUUUUAUACUGGAAUAAACCUCUUUACGUGUAGAGAGUUGAAUGUACAGUAAGAAUAAGGAUCGGCUAACUCCGUGCCAGCAGCCGCGGUAAUACGGAGGAUCCAAGCGUUAUCCGGAUUUAUUGGGUUUAAAGGGUGCGUAGGUGGUUCUUUAAGUCAGGGGUGAAAGACGGCAGCUUAACUGUCGCAGUGCCUUUGAUACUGAAGAACUUGAAUCCACUAGAGGUAGGCGGAAUGUGACAAGUAGCGGUGAAAUGCAUAGAUAUGUCACACAACACCAAUUGCGAAGGUA
rnacentral:rRNA from 2 species